rnacentral:rRNA from 1 species
GACGAACGCUGGCGGCGUGCUUAACACAUGCAAGUCGAACGAUGAACCCGGAGCUUGCUCCGGUGGAUUAGUGGCGAACGGGUGAGUACCCGGUGGUAACCUGCCCUUGACUCCGGGAUAACCGCGGGAAAACUUAGCCAAAUCCGGAUUCGACCCCCGGCGGCAUCGCCAGGGGGGGGAAAGUACUUCGGUCAAGGAUGGACUCGCGGCCUAUCAGCUAGUUGGUGAGGUAACGGCUCACCAAGGCGACGACGGGUAGCCGGCCUGAGAGGGUGACCGGCCACACUGGGACUGAGACACGGCCCAGACUCCUACGGGAGGCAGCAGUGGGGAAUAUUGCACAAUGGGCGCAAGCCUGAUGCAGCAACGCCGCGUGAGGGAUGACGGCCUUCGGGCUGUAAACCUCUUUUAGUAGGGAAGAAGCGAAAGUGACGGUACCUGCAGAAAAAGCACCGGCUAACUACGUGCCAGCAGCCGCAGUAA